AUGCUCCUAUCCACGAGCCCUGUGAAAAACAACCCCCUUCACAAUCGUGAGUUUAGAUUCGAGCUUAGCUGGUUGAAGAACAAGGAAUUUUAUGUUAAAGCUAAGAACAUUUGGGAGCAGCCGGUAAACGUUAGCGAUCCAAUCAAUAUCCUCAACAUUAAACUGAAACGUCUCAAGAAAUACUUUAAGGGUUGGGGUUCUCACUCUUUUGGCCAUGCCCAAAACAGGAAAAACGAGAUCAAAGAGGAAUUAGAGGAGAUUGAAAAGAUAGAAGAGGGUGAGCCCCUGACACCGGAGUUGUAUGAAAAAAGAACCACCCUAUGCGCCAAGCUUAAUGACAUCCUUGCUGGUGAAGAGCUCUUUUGGCUAGAACAUUCGAAUGAACGUUGGUUGCUAAAAGGGGAUCAGAACACAGCUUUUUACCAUCGUGUUGCGAAUGGUAAAAAAAUAAAAAAAAACACCAUACACUCCCUGACUGACAGAGAAGUGGUGAUUGAGGGCACAAAAAAUCUUCUAACUCAUGCUACUUCCUAUUAUAAAGAGCUGUUUGGACCGGCCAGAGGAAAUAUAUUCCAGUUAUCUCCUGAUACAUGGGUGGAGGGGGGAAAGCUUACUAGUGAAGACAACAUCCUGCUCACUAGCGAGUUUACGGAAGAGGAAGUUAAAAAGGCCAUGUUUAGUAUGGAGAGCAUCAGGGCCCCUGGACCGGAUAACAUCCCGGUUGAAUUCUACAAACACUGUUGA
rnacentral:rRNA from 1 species